rnacentral:lncRNA from 1 species
AUUUCAGAUACCACUGGAGAAAUAGUGAUGACGCAGUCUCCAGCCACCCUGUCUGUGUCUCCAGGGGAAAGAGCCACCCUCUCCUGCAGGGCCAGUCAGAGUGUUAGCAGCAACUUAGCCUGGUACCAGCAGAAACCUGGCCAGGCUCCCAGGCUCCUCAUCUAUGGUGCAUCCACCAGGGCCACUGGUAUCCCAGCCAGGUUCAGUGGCAGUGGGUCUGGGACAGAGUUCACUCUCACCAUCAGCAGCCUGCAGUCUGAAGAUUUUGCAGUUUAUUACUGUCAGCCUCUCACUGUGGUGGACGUUCGGCCAAGGGACCAAGGUGGAAAUCAAAGAACUGUGGCUGCACCAUCUGUCUUCAUCUUCCCGCCAUCUGAUGAGCAGU